AUUGAACGCUGGCGGCAUGCUUUACACAUGCAAGUCGAACGGUAACAGGCCGCAAGGUGCUGACGAGUGGCGAACGGGUGAGUAAUGCAUCGGAACGUGCCCAGUCGUGGGGGAUAACGCAGCGAAAGCUGUGCUAAUACCGCAUACGAUCUAUGGAUGAAAGCGGGGGACCGUAAGGCCUCGCGCGAUUGGAGCGGCCGAUGUCAGAUUAGGUAGUUGGUGGGGUAAAGGCUCACCAAGCCAACGAUCUGUAGCUGGUCUGAGAGGACGACCAGCCACACUGGGACUGAGACACGACCCAGACGCCUACGGGAGGCAGCAGGGGGGAAUUUUGGACAAUGGGCGCAAGCCUGAUCCAGCAAUGCCGCGUGCAGGAAGAAGGCCUUCGGGUUGUAAACUGCUUUUGUACGGAACGAAAAGGUUUGGGUUAAUACCCUGGGCCGAUGACGGUACCGUAAGAAUAAGCACCGGCUAACUACGUGCCAGCAGCCGCCGUAA
rnacentral:rRNA from 1 species